AGGACGAACGCUGGCGGCGUGCCUAACACAUGCAAGUGGAGCGACGAACCAGGCUUCGGCCUGGGGCAAAGCCGCGAACGGGUGAGUAACACGUGAGCAACCUGCCCCUAGCUUCGGGAUAGCUCCGGGAAACCGGAAUUAAUACCGAAUAUGGCCAUGGACGACAUCAGCCAUGGUGGAAAGUUUUUCGGCUAGGGAUGGACUCGCGGCCUAUCAGCUAGUUGGUGAGGUAACGGCCCACCAAGGCGACGACGGGUAGCCGGCCUGAGAGGGCGACCGGCCACACUGGGACUGAGACACGGCCCAGACUCCUACGGGAGGCAGCAGUGGGGAAUAUUGCGCAAUGGGCGAAAGCCUGACGCAGCGACGCCGCGUGGGGGAUGAAUGCCUUCGGGUUGUAAACCCUUUCAGCAGGGACGAAGCGAAGUGACGGUACCUGCAGAAGAGCGCCGGCUAACUACGCGCCAGCAGCCGCGGUAA
rnacentral:rRNA from 1 species